UUUGUUGCUUAUAAAAGGUUUCUCAUAGUUGAUAGUAGUGCAGAACACAAGGUGGCUGUAAAGGUUUGACACCAAAUUAAGAAAUUAUGGAGGAAGGCAACAGCUCAUUCAAAUUUUCAGGUAAGAAAAAGAAGUCAGAUCUUGCAAAACUUCAAAAGGAACAUGAUGAGAAAAUGGCAGCCAUAAAAGAGCUUAAGAAAAAGAGAGAAGAAAUGAAGCUUCAAUUGUCAAAGGAGAAUAUUUCUGAGGAAAAGAAAGAGACUUUCAGAAAAUUGACUGAGAAAUAUAAAAAAAUGAAUGAUGAAUAUAAUUCCCUUUUAGGUUAGUUUAAAGGGAAAAGAGUAGUAUCUUACUAAUAAAAUUU